CCCAGACAGCCAGGAUGUUGGCUUAGAAGCAGCCAUCAUUUAAAGAAAGCGUAAUAGCUCACUGGUCGAGUCGGCCUGCGCGGAAGAUGUAACGGGGCUAAACCAUGCACCGAAGCUGCGGCAGCGACACUAUGUGUUGUUGGGUAGGGGAGCGUUCUGUAAGCCUGUGAAGGUGUGUCGUGAGGCAUGCUGGAGGUAUCAGAAGUGCGAAUGCUGACAUAAGUAACGAUAAAGCGGGUGAAAAGCCCGCUCGCCGGAAGACCAAGGGUUCCUGUCCAACGUUAAUCGGGGCAGGGUGAGUCGACCCCUAAGGC
rnacentral:rRNA from 1 species